rnacentral:rRNA from 1 species
CACCAGUGGCGAAGGCGAACUCUCUGGUCUGUAACUGACGCUGAGGAGCGAAAGCGUGGGGAGCGAACAGGAUUAGAUACCCUGGUAGUCCACGCCGUAAACGAUGAGUGCUAAGUGUUAGGGGGUUUCCGCCCCUUAGUGCUGCAGCUAACGCAUUAAGCACUCCGCCUGGGGAGUACGGUCGCAAGACUGAAACUCAAAGGAAUUGACGGGGGCCCGCACAAGCGGUGGAGCAUGUGGUUUAAUUCGAAGCAACGCGAAGAACCUUACCAGGUCUUGACAUCCUCUGACAAUCCUAGAGAUAGGACGUCCCCUUCGGGGGCAGAGUGACAGGUGGUGCAUGGUUGUCGUCAGCUCGUGUCGUGAGAUGUUGGGUUAAGUCCCGCAACGAGCGCAACCCUUGAUCUUAGUUGCCAGCAUUCAGUUGGGCACUCUAAGGUGACUGCCGGUGACAAACCGGAGGAAGGUGGGGAUGACGUCAAAUCAUCAUGCCCCUUAUGACCUGGGCUACACACGUGCUACAAUGGACAGAACAA